GGGGACCAUCCUCCAAGGCUAAAUACUACUGACUGACCGAUAGUGAACCAGUACCGUGAGGGAAAGGCGAAAA
rnacentral:tRNA from 1 species